rnacentral:lncRNA from 1 species
AUUGACAAGUCGUAUGACAAGAUGUUUUGAACAAGUAGCACAAAUUAACGUCUAUAAAGUGCUAUUUUGCUUGUAUAACUUAUCCUUGUUAUUGAUAAUGACAUAUUUUGCUAUGAUUUCAGUAGUGAAUUGAAAGAAAAUGUCAACUCUUUCUUAGCUUUAUACCUUCCUUAUGCCUCAAUUUGUUAAGUUUCUAAGUAGCUACAUCUUUAGUUGAAUUCUUUUAAAUUGCUUCACUAAUCCCCACUUUUUGGUUGUUAGAUCAUGUACAUGAAGCUUGUUGGCCAAACCGACGAAUGGAAGAACCACAGAAGCAAGAAUGAAUGUAAAAGAGGAAAUAUUGAGCAA